UUAAGCGACUAAGCGUACACGGUGGAUGCCCUGGCAGUCAGAGGCGAUGAAGGACGUGCUAAUCUGCGAAAAGCGCCGGCGAGGUGAUAUGAACCUUUGACCCGGCGAUGUCCGAAUGGGGAAACCCAGUGCAAUUCGUUGCACUAUCGUUAACUGAAUACAUAGGUUAACGAGGCGAACCGGGGGAACUGAAACAUCUAAGUACCCCGAGGAAAAGAAAUCAACCGAGAUUCCCCCAGUAGCGGCGAGCGAACGGGGAGCAGCCCGGAGUCUGAAUCAGCUUGUGUGUUAGUGGAACGGUCUGGAAAGUCCGACGGUACAGGGUGAUAGUCCCGUACACGAAAAUGCACAGGUUGUGAACUCGAAGAGUAGGGCGGGACACGUGGUAUCCUGUCUGAAUAUGGGGGGACCAUCCUCCAAGGCUAAAUACUCCUGACUGACCGAUAGUGAACCAGUACCGUGAGGGAAAGGCGAAAAGAACCCCGGCGAGGGGAGUGAAAAAGAACCUGAAACCGUGUACGUACAAGCAGUGGGAGCCUCUUUAUGGGGUGACUGCGUACCUUUUGUAUAAUGGGUCAGCGACUUAUAUUCUGUAGCAAGGUUAACCGUAUAGGGGAGCCGAAGGGAAACCGAGUCUUAACUGGGCGUUAAGUUGCAGGGUAUAGACCCGAAACCCGGUGAUCUAGCCAUGGGCAGGUUGAAGGUUGGGUAACACUAACUGGAGGACCGAACCGACUAAUGUUGAAAAAUUAGCGGAUGACCUGUGGCUGGGGGUGAAAGGCCAAUCAAACCGGGAGAUAGCUGGUUCUCCCCGAAAGCUAUUUAGGUAGCGCCUCGUGAACUCAUCUUCGGGGGUAGAGCACUGUUUCGGCUAGGGGGCCAUCCCGGCUUACCAACCCGAUGCAAACUACGAAUACCGAAGAAUGUUAUCACGGGAGACACACGGCGGGUGCUAACGUCCGUCGUGAAGAGGGAAACAACCCAGACCGCCAGCUAAGGUCCCAAAGUCAUGGUUAAGUGGGAAACGAUGUGGGAAGGCACAGACAGCCAGGAUGUUGGCUUAGAAGCAGCCAUCAUUUAAAGAAAGCGUAAUAGCUCACUGGUCGAGUCGGCCUGCGCGGAAGAUGUAACGGGGCUAAACCAUGCACCGAAGCUGCGGCAGCGACACUAUGUGUUGUUGGGUAGGGGAGCGUUCUGUAAGCCGUUGAAGGUGUGCUGUGAGGCAUGCUGGAGGUAUCAGAAGUGCGAAUGCUGACAUAAGUAACGAUAAAGCGGGUGAAAAGCCCGCUCGCCGGAAGACCAAGGGUUCCUGUCCAACGUUAAUCGGGGCAGGGUGAGUCGACCCCUAAGGCGAGGCCGAAAGGCGUAGUCGAUGGGAAACAGGUUAAUAUUCCUGUACUUGGUGUUACUGCGAAGGGGGGACGGAGAAGGCUAUGUCAGCCGGGCGACGGUUGUCCCGGUUUAAGCAUGUAGGCGGAGGUUCCAGGUAAAUCCGGUACCUUUUAACGCUGAGGUGUGAUGACGAGGCACUACGGUGCUGAAGUGAUAAAUGCCCUGCUUCCAGGAAAAGCCUCUAAGCAUCAGGUAACACGAAAUCGUACCCCAAACCGACACAGGUGGUCAGGUAGAGAAUACCAAGGCGCUUGAGAGAACUCGGGUGAAGGAACUAGGCAAAAUGGUGCCGUAACUUCGGGAGAAGGCACGCUGAUAGGUAGGUGAAGCCCCUGCGGGCGGAGCUGAAAUCAGUCGAAGAUACCAGCUGGCUGCAACUGUUUAUUAAAAACACAGCACUGUGCAAACACGAAAGUGGACGUAUACGGUGUGACGCCUGCCCGGUGCCGGAAGGUUAAUUGAUGGGGUUAGCGGCAACGCGAAGCUCUUGAUCGAAGCCCCGGUAAACGGCGGCCGUAACUAUAACGGUCCUAAGGUAGCGAAAUUCCUUGUCGGGUAAGUUCCGACCUGCACGAAUGGCGUAAUGAUGGCCAGGCUGUCUCCACCCGAGACUCAGUGAAAUUGAACUCGCUGUGAAGAUGCAGUGUACCCGCGGCAAGACGGAAAGACCCCGUGAACCUUUACUAUAGCUUGACACUGAACACUGGUCCUUGAUGUGUAGGAUAGGUGGGAGGCUUUGAAGCGUGGACGCCAGUCUGCGUGGAGCCAACCUUGAAAUACCACCCUUUAAUGGCUGGUGUUCUAACGUAGACCCGUGAUCCGGGUUGCGGACAGUGUCUGGUGGGUAGUUUGACUGGGGCGGUCUCCUCCCAAAGAGUAACGGAGGAGCACGAAGGUUGGCUAAUCCUGGUCGGACAUCAGGAGGUUAGUGCAAUGGCAUAAGCCAGCUUGACUGCGAGCGUGACGGCGCGAGCAGGUGCGAAAGCAGGUCAUAGUGAUCCGGUGGUUCUGAAUGGAAGGGCCAUCGCUCAACGGAUAAAAGGUACUCCGGGGAUAACAGGCUGAUACCGCCCAAGAGUUCAUAUCGACGGCGGUGUUUGGCACCUCGAUGUCGGCUCAUCACAUCCUGGGGCUGAAGUAGGUCCCAAGGGUAUGGCUGUUCGCCAUUUAAAGUGGUACGCGAGCUGGGUUUAGAACGUCGUGAGACAGUUCGGUCCCUAUCUGCCGUGGGCGCUGGAGAAUUGAGGGGGGCUGCUCCUAGUACGAGAGGACCGGAGUGGACGCAUCACUGGUGUUCGGGUUGUCAUGCCAAUGGCACUGCCCGGUAGCUAAAUGCGGAAGAGAUAAGUGCUGAAAGCAUCUAAGCACGAAACUUGCCCCGAGAUGAGUUCUCCCUGAGACUUUAAGUCUCCUGAAGGAACGUUGAAGACGACGACGUUGAUAGGUCGGGUGUGUAAGCGCAGCGAUGCGUUGAGCUAACCGAUACUAAUGAACCGUGAGGCUUAACCUU
rnacentral:rRNA from 2 species